GACGAACGCUGGCGGCGUGCUUAACACAUGCAAGUCGAACGGAAAGGCCCUGCUUUUGUGGGGUGCUCGAGUGGCGAACGGGUGAGUAACACGUGAGUAACCUGCCCUUGACUUUGGGAUAACUUAAGGAAACUGGGGCUAAUACCGGAUAGGAGCUCCUGCUGCAUGGUGGGGGUUGGAAAGUUUCGGCGGUUGGGGAUGGACUCGCGGCUUAUCAGCUUGUUGGUGGGGUAGUGGCUUACCAAGGCUUUGACGGGUAGCCGGCCUGAGAGGGUGAUCGGCCACAUUGGUACUGAGAUACGGCCCAGACUCCUACGGAAGGCAGCAGUGGGGAAUAUUGCACAAUGGGCAGAAGCCUAAUGCAGCAACGCCGCGUGCGAGAUGACGGCCUUCAGGUUGUAAACCGCUUUCGCCUAUGACGAAGCGUGAGUGAAGGUAAUGGGUAAAGAAGCACCGGCUAGCUACGUG
rnacentral:rRNA from 1 species